rnacentral:tRNA from 1 species
UGGCUGGUAGCUCAAUGGUUAGAGCAUUGGCCUGCGCACCAAAAAGUCAAGGGUUUGAUUCCCAGUCAA